rnacentral:rRNA from 1 species
UACGAAGGGGGCUAGCGUUGCUCGGAAUUACUGGGCGUAAAGGGAGCGUAGGCGGAUAGUUUAGUCAGAGGUGAAAGCCCAGGGCUCAACCUUGGAAUUGCCUUUGAUACUGGCUAUCUUGAGUAUGGAAGAGGUAUGUGGAACUCCGAGUGUAGAGGUGAAAUUCGUAGAUAUUCGCAAGAACACCAGUGGCGAAGGCGGCUCACUGGUCCGGUACUGACGCUGAGGUGCGAAAGCGUGGGGAGCAAACAGG